GUCAUGCAAUGACUAUAUGGGCUUGUUUGCGUAAUAUUUUGUUGAACCUGUAUAAAUUCUUAUGGGAACUCUGUGUUUUUAUAUAAAUGAAUGAAAAUGUGGAAGCGUUUGAAUGUGUACUUUGAGAAGAGACACAGCUCUAAGCAGGUAUAAAUUCAUAAUUAUGUUUACCUCAACUCCUAUCUCAUUUUAUUCCUUGGUCCGGAGCUGGACCCUUUCUUCACCAGUUUCGAUCGAAAGUAAAAAUACGCUGUGGCUGGGUCUGCAUGGACGAAGAAAACCCCAAAAUCCAUUUAGCGAGGGUUCAUAUUGCCACACAACCACGUAUAUGGUGUUUCGAUUAGGUUCAGAGUAGUAAAACUACAAGCUACAAAACACACCUAUGUAAAGAAAUCGUCUUAACUGUGUAAUGUUUAAAUGCACCACUAUGCUACGUAAGCAGAGAAACUUACUUAUUUACUGAAAUCUAAUAUGUCUAACAGCUAAGGUGAUAUUUCACUCGAUUUGCACCCGAACCGCAAAAAAGAGAAAAUCCGCAACCGAAGAGAAAUCAUCACGUAAUUUAAAUAGUGAUUGUAUUCAGUUCCCGUAAUAAGCCCCCUGUUUUUGUGGAGCCACACGUGGAUCAUCCCCUUCCUUUCCUGCCUGUACCAUGCCCGGAGUCCGUGAUGGAAACUCCCCAAGUUGCUGAGGGCUGAGGAUGCUUCACUUCUUGACGCCUACCCUCUGCCCCCU